UACGUAGGGUGCUAGCGUUAUCCGGAUUUACUGGGCGUAAAGGGUGCGUAGGUGGUCUUUCAAGUCGGUGGUUAAAGGCUACGGCUCAACCGUAUUAAGCCGCCGAAACUGGAAGACUUGAGUGCAGGAGAGGAAAGUGGAAUUCUCAGUGUAGCGGUGAAAUGCGUAGAUAUAUGGAGGAACACCGGUGGCGAAAGCGGCUCUCUGGUCUGUAACUGACACUGAGGAGCGAGAGCGUGGGGAGCGAACAGG
rnacentral:rRNA from 1 species